CCCAACCCCUGUUAGACCAGCGCCCCCCCCCUCCCCUGUCAGCCUGUGGGUCUGUCUCAGAGUGGCUUCAUGCUAUCAAGAUGUCUCGUUAUGAAGAGAGCUUUACACAGGCAGGAUUCACCAACCUGGAGGUCAUCGCACAGAUCUCUACAGAGGAUCUGUUGCGUAUAGGAGUGACUCUAGCGGGACACCAGAAGAAGAUUCUCUCUUCCAUCCAGACCCUUAGAGUUCUCAAAACUCCUCCCACACUCAGAUACUGACCAAUCACCUAUUACAGCCUCAUGGAAGCUCCCCCCACCCUUCCAUACUGGCCAAUCUCACCAAAGCCCUUCAACAAGCCACCAGCCAACCACGUACCAGUUGUGAUGAUGUCACUACGCCAACGGUGUCCCAAGCCAAUCUUUGUACUCGGUUCCACUGUGAUGACACAAUAGAUGUGUGUGUACUCUUCAUCCAAUCAGGAAGACGGAGAGAGAGACAGACAUGAACUCUCUCCUGAGAGAUUCCUUCAGUUUUCCAAUACUGCCUUGUUGGAGUCCACGGGAAUACUGGACAUUAACUUGGUUUUAUAAUACUGCCUUGUUGGAGUCCACGGGAAUACUGGACAUUAACUUGGUUUUAUAAUACUGCCUUGUUGGAGUCCACGGGAAUACUGGACAUUAACUUGGUUUUAUAAUACUGCCUUGUUGGAGUCCACGGGAAUACUGGACAUUAACUUGGUUUUAUAAUACUGCCUUGUUGGAAUCCACGGGAAUACUGGACAUUAACUUGGUUUUAUAAUACUGCCUUGUUGGAGUCCACAGGAAUACUGGACAUUAACUUGGUUUUAUAAUACUGCCUUGUUGGAGUCCACGGGAAUACUCAACAUUAACUUGGUUUUAUAAUACUGCCUUGUUGGAAUCCACGGGAAUACUGGACAUUAACUUGGUUUUAUAAUACUGCCUUGUUGGAGUCCACUGGAAUACUCAACAUUAACUUGGGUUAUAAUACUGCCUUGUUGGAGUCCACAGGAAUACUGGACAUUAACUUGGUUUUACAAUACUGCCUUGUUGGAAUACUCAACAUUAACUUGGUUUUAUAAUACUGCCUUGUUGGUGUCCAUGGGAAUACUGGACAUUAACUUGGUUUUACAAUACUGCCUUGUUGGAGUCCACGGGAAUACUCAACAUUAACUUGGUUUUAUAUUACUGCCUUGUUGGAAUACUCAACAUUAACUUGGUUUUAUAAUACUGCCUUGUUGGAGUCCACGGGAAUACUGGACAUUAACUUGGUUUUAUAAUACUGCCUUGUUGGAGUCCACGGGAAUACUCAACAUUAACUUGGUUUUAUAAAACUGCCUUGUUGGAGUCCACGGGAAUACUGGACAUUAACUUGGUUUUACAAUACUGCCUUGUUGGAGUCCACGGGAAUACUCAACAUUAACUUGGUUUUAUAAUACUGGCGGGAUCCUCUCGGAAUACCAUUGGAAUACUGUGGAAGAUUUCUCCCCUGGAACACUGUUUGGGAUAAAGGAUUUCGCCCAAUCAGGUUUUCCCAGAUAUUCCCUCUGACUGAGGUGUGGUGCUGGACCUUGUAGACUAACUGCUAAUCAGAGACAUCUCUGAUUUAAAACCUGACUUCUAGAGAGACUAACUCUGAUUUAAAACUUGACUUCUAGAGAGACUAACUCUGAUUUAAAACCUGACUUCUAGAGAGACUGACUCUGAUUUAAAACAUAACUUCUAGAGAGACUGACUGAUUUAAAACCUGACUUCUAGAGAGACGGACUCUGAUUUAAAACCUGACUUCUACAGAGACUGACUCUGAUUUAAAACCUGACUUCUAGAGAGACUGACUCUGAUUUAAAACCUGACUGCUUCUAGAUAGACUGCCUCUGAUUUAAAUCCUGACUUCUAGAGACUAACUCUGAUUUAAAACCUGACUUCUAGAGAGACUGACUCUGAUUUAAAACAUGACUUCUAGAGAGACUGACUCUGAUUUAAAACCUGACUGCUUCUAGAGAGACUGACUGAUUUAAAACCUGACUUCUAGAGAGACGGACUCUGAUUUAAAACCUGACUUCUACAGAGACUGACUCUGAUUUAAAACCUGACUUCUAGAGAGACUGACUCUGAUUUAAAACCUGACUGCUUCUAGAUAGACUGCCUCUGAUUUAAAUCCUGACUUCUAGAGACUAACUCUGAUUUAAAACCUGACUUCUAGAGAGACUGACUCUGAUUUAAAACAUGACUUCUAGAGAGACUGACUCUGAUUUAAAACCUGACUGCUUCUAGAGACUGACUCUGAUUUAAAACCUGACUUCUAGAGAGACUGACUCUGAUUUAAAACCUGACUGCUUCUAGAGAGACUGCCUCUGAUUUAAAACCUGACUGCUUCUAGAGAGACUGCCUCUGAUUUAAAACCUGACUGCUUCUAGAGAGACUGCCUCUGAUUUAAAACCUGACUGCUUCUAGAGAGACUGCCUCUGAUUUAAAACCUGACUUCUAGAGAGACUAACUCUGAUAACAUGAUCAGGUCUAUAUGGACUUCUUAGGAACGAGAGGGAGGGGAUAAAACAGAAAGAGAGAGGGGGGGAUAGAGAGGGUAAAAGAGGGUAAAACAGAGAGAGAGAGAGAGAGAGAGAGCGAGCGAGAGGGUAAAAGAGAGAGAGAGAGAGAGAGAGGGUAAAAAAGAGAGAGAGAGAGAGAGGGUAAAAUAGAGAGAGAGGGUAAAAGAGAGAGAGGGUAAAAGAGAGAGGGGUUGUAAAACACAGAGAGAGAGAGAGAGAGAGAGAGAGGGUAAAAAACAGAGAGAGAUAGGAGGAUGGAAGAGCAUAAAUGACUGAUAGACUGAUAAAGAUGGACAAUUCUCCUCUCCUCUAUCAUCUCUCCAUCUAUUUGUUCCUGGGUUAGUGUUUAAAGAUACAAUACUUCCACGGUCUAGUGAGACUGCUGCGCUGAGACUUUCAGAAUGUCUGCUGCCAUUUCAUAACCUCUCCCAAGUCACAGAGGUACUGAUGGACCCUAGAGUUGACCUCUGACCCGAGCCCAUGUCUCCAUGACCUAUGGAACUAUGGGACUUUAGUCCUGAGGCCUCUCCCGUUGCAUUAUGGGUGAGGUAGUAUCCCAGUCCCUCACAUUGAACUCUCUGUAUUGAAGUUGUUUAUUGUUUAUUAUUAUGAUGAAUUCAGGAUGUUUUGUAAUAAUUAUAAUUAUUCUGUUACCUUUUCUAAGAAACAGUUAUUAAAUAUGACUGAUAUAUAUUAUUUUUAUAGUAUAUAUACAGUCGUACAUAUGACUGAUCGAUGUCUAUUUGAGAGAAGAUUGAUUGGGAGAGGGGCUUGUCUGUCUGUUGCUGUGACCAAUCACAAUAAAGAUGACUUAAGCUGU